AUUCUCCAAUACGGAUGAGUCGUUGUACAUCAACGCCAGCUCAGAAUCUGAGUGGGGCAAAGAGUUUGAUGAAUUUAAAGUCAUGUUAAAUACACAAAAUCGCACAUCUUUUGUAGGACAAACUCACUAGUGUUGAUGAGAAACUGAUUGGAAACACCAGGGUGAUCCACAUCAUGGAUGGCACUGGCAAAGAGAGCGGCGAGGAUUUCCAGAUCGGUGAACACGGCCUUUACCACACAAGGAUAAUAAUCAAUUUAUAACCACCAGUGGUGUUGUUUCUUCUUAAUAAGUCUGUCUUUUCAGUGCUCGUGUACCUCCAGCGCAGGUGUUGAAAGCAGCACGUGAGUUGACUGGACAACGUCGGCGGCAUGGAUGUUGUUGUGAUACGCCACGUCUGCAUGGUAGUGAUCCUCCAAAGUCAUCAUGAAUGUAAUGAAAGUGUCAACUGGGAUCUUGAAAGACUUGAGCAGGUCGCGCUCCUGAGACAGAAGGCCAAGAUGACCUUCCUGGGUGGCGUUGACCCCAAAGCGAGGGAUGGUGGAUGGUGCGAGGCUGGGGCUGUGCGUAGGCUUCUUCACACCGCUGAUCUGGGACAUGGGUCGCUUCUUCUUCUCCUCCUUGGUGGGGGGAGCCAUGAUGUCCAUAUCAUGUUGCUUCUCUGUCAGAUGGACACAGACAAAAAUGUCAAGUGUCGCAGUGUGUAAUAAUGUAAUCAUUACUAUUUUUGCAACAUUAUACUUCCGCAGGGCCAUAUUCUCCCGUUGGUGCAUAAGUCAGUAUUUUACACACCUGGCUUGCGUGUUUUCCAGUUACACCGAUUUUGCCAUAAUGACUUCUGACAACAGUUUGAGAGGCGUGACUCAUUAAAGUCUGCCGGUGUGUAGAAUUCCCGAAAUGUGGAUUUUUCCUGAGACAUAUGAAAGCCUUUGAAAUACCCUCGCAGACUAUGUCACACUUUAAAUGUGAAAUCAACCAUCGUAGAGGAAACGCAAGUUAAUGGUCGCCUGAGAGAUGUCAGCACCGCUCCUCUAACAAGCAACAUGUGAACCUCAGGCAGUCCUCUGCACCCUCCCACAGCUCAUUCAUCAGUCAAGCACUCCCUACCUGAAUGAACAUCCACGACUCCGAGAUGAAAGGAUCCACUUCUGGCAUUUCAACGCAAAAUCAAGCAUGGGAGCAAGAAUAAAAUCAAGUGUGAGCGCUGAGCUUCAUGGUCAUCCUCUGCCACUGCCUGUAUGCUUCUUUCACUGCUUGCUUGAGCAGAAGCUCCUACAAGCAGGGAGCCCCCUGCUAAGCCUCGAUCGAUACAAGCGGAAAACUCUGGAGGGCCGAGGAAGAACGAGAGAGCUGGAAGCACAUCUGUGGGAAUGUGGUCGUCCGCCUUCCUUCCCCACUCUCCCUCAUUCACUCCCUUACUGCCUGCUCUUGUGUGUGUAAACAGUGAGACAACGGGGUACUCUUGUCCACGCCUCCCUCCAAAAAAAAAUGUCUAAGAAUAGCGGCCAAUCCGGCGAGUGCUGCAGCAGAGGCCGGGAGAGCCGCGGUCCUCUCAUUGGUCGAAAGCUACACAAAGUGGGUGGGGCCGAGCGUGUUGUAGCUGGAGGUUGUGAGAUGCACCAUGUGCACCAAGUUUGAAGACGAUAUAAAGAAAAAUGAUGAAAGAGAAGAUGAUAAGGGGGGCAGUUCAUUCAUGAAGCCAAAAAAAAAAAAAAAGAGUACAUCAUGUACCACAAUGUUGUGGGGGACAUUGACCAUCAUGAGCAUCAUCUACAGGAAAGAAUAUACUAUGCUGACAAAGCAUUAUAAAAAGUACAUGCUAUUUUGUAAAACUGUUUCCUUGUCUUUAUUGAGCCAGCAUGGGUUUAGUUCCCACUCAAUUACGGUGUGAAAAUGGAUGGAUGGCUAAUAAUCCGGGCUGGUGUGUCCGUUUUAAAGCGCCUCGUUGGCGGCUGUGAGUGCGCGCACAUCACAGUAAGGAAGGUGGAUAUCGCCAGGAGGGGAAAAGAAGGGUGGUGGUGGUGGGGUAGUCAGACUUGACAGCCAGCAGGUGGACAGUGCCCCACGCUGAUAUCGCCUUUUUAGAGCGCCUCGUUGUCGGCCGUGACGACAUGGUGGGAUAUAUUCCAGACACCGCAGGCUUUAUGCGUCUAUAUUUUCACGGCUCAAUCAUUUCGGGAUGUGUAGGCAUAAGAAAGAUGCUAGACGAAGUAGCAUUCACUUUUUCAGGUUGUAGUAGUGGUAUUGGAUUGACAGUUGACAGAUGAGCAGGACGUGGUUUCCGUGCCUUCAGCAGACACGGUACAGCGUUUGAUAACAGCUUGAUUUUUCAUUAUUUUGAAGCCUCAUUCUAUAUACUUGGCUAUUGAUUUUAAUAAUUCAAAUUUGUAAGGGUUGUUAACAACUCUUCUUUAUGGUGUAUGAAAUUUAGAAGACACACUGUUUGUGAACAUACCACAUUUUGGCUCACAGGCACGCUGAUGUCUUCAUUGUGGAACAAACCCUAACCAUGACAACCUGAGAAAGAAAGUUUGAUUUACUGUAAAUCUACCCACUUAUCAAAUGGGAAUGGAA